AGGUUGAUAGGCUGCGUGUGUAAGUGUCGUGAGGCAUUUAGCUUGGCAGUACUAAUAGGUCGAGGGCUUGACCAC
rnacentral:rRNA from 1 species